UCGUAAGGCUCAGCGUUAUAAAUAUGGGCCCCCUCUUGGGAAACCUUGAGGUGUGCACUCAUCAAAUCCGGAGAAAUCCUCUCUGCUAAUUAGCAGAAAGACAAUUCCGAGCUAAAUUCUUUGACUAACGUCAGAGAUAAAUGUGUAGAGACUAGAUGAUGAGCUCCUUAAUCUUUAAUUUAUUUUUUAGAAAGGAGAUGGUAUAGUCCAGACCACAAACAAAAGGGUAG
rnacentral:ncRNA from 1 species